rnacentral:lncRNA from 1 species
AGAAAUCCAACGAGAGGUCAGUGAGUGGUUCAAGAAACAAGCCGAAGAAAAAAAAAGCAAGGGAGAUGGAGCCACCGCCAGUAAGUCGGCGAGAUUUAAACUUUUUUAUCAGGAUGGAAGAAGGAGCCAAGAAAAGGAUACCACUCUUAUCAAACUAUGAACGGGCUUUAGUAAAGGCUGAUGAAAAGGAUAAAAGGAAAGGAAAGUCAUCUUCCAGCGGUCCUGUCCCCGACCUCAGCCAUUUAUCAAAAAAAGAUGCUCAACGGGUAAAAGCAAUGCCCUUGGAUCAACAAGCAAAUGUAUUGAAGUUCAUGGAAGAAACAGGUCUGGGACUUGAUGAAUGCAUAGGGCAAGUUGAGACGCCAACUGCACCGCCCCCUGAGCCGAG